rnacentral:rRNA from 1 species
UUGAACGCUGGCGGCAGGCCUAACACAUGCAAGUCGAACGGUAACAGGAAGCAGCUUGCUGCUUCGCUGACGAGUGGCGGACGGGUGAGUAAUGUCUGGGAAACUGCCUGAUGGAGGGGGAUAACUACUGGAAACGGUAGCUAAUACCGCAUAACGUCGCAAGACCAAAGAGUGGGACCUUAGGGCCUCUUGCCAUCGGAUGUGCCCAGAUGGGAUUAGCUAGUAGGUGGGGUAACGGCUCACCUAGGCGACGAUCCCUAGCUGGUCUGAGAGGAUGACCAGCCACACUGGAACUGAGACACGGUCCAGACUCCUACGGGAGGCAGCAGUGGGGAAUAUUGCACAAUGGGCGCAAGCCUGAUGCAGCCAUGCCGCGUGUAUGAAGAAGGCCUUCGGGUUGUAAAGUACUUUCAGCGGGGAGGAAGGGAGUAAAGUUAAUACCUUUGCUCAUUGACGUUACCCGCAGAAGAAGCACCGGCUAACUCCGUG